GUUUCUCGGCCCACAAACCAGUCUGUUGGUGUCUGAUUUCAGAUCCUGAGUCGACUCCCUGGGUUAAUAGUCAAAUUGCGGCUACAAAAUCUUUUUAUGUUUCAUGGUUUGCUGGUGGUGUGAAGAAUCUCCAUCAGGUCUGAUCGCCUAAGUUCAUAGAAGCCAAAGCUUUAUGAAGAUCUCAUUGGAAUCCAGCGGAUGAUUAAUGUGAAGAUUUGGUAGGAAAUCUGGAGAGGUGUAUUAAAACUCAGAUCUCAGGUUCAUUUCGAUCAGCCAGCCGUGAACUCUGGGCCGAAUUCAUUACACUUUAAUAGUGCUGGGAGAGGAAGAAAAUGCAAUUUCUCAUUCCAUUAGAAAACUAGAAAAUACUCUCAGCUUGUCCCCUAUUAAGAUGUGGCAGGUGACGGGACCAUUGUGGGGGACACGGUCAAUGGAAUUACAGCACAUUAUUUUUGUUCAUAUAAAAUAUUGGAAGGCAAGCCUGACCGUGCAGAAGUUAUUUCGCUGAUUUAGUUUUUAUGUAAAUAAAAUAUUGAAAGUUAAUUAAUCCGUGCUAGAGACUAAUGAUUAUGCUUAUUAUAUUGCAUUUGAUCGCGUAAUUUGCAUGAUUCUCGCAUUGCUGCUUAAUAAGCCAUUCCAGGUUAUAAAUAAUUCUGAAAUUGGUUUCUAAUAAUGGCAUGCUAUAAAAAGAAUGGUUUUA